rnacentral:misc_RNA from 1 species
GACGAAGAACGUAGCGAAAUGCGAUAAGUAAUGUGAAUUGCAGAAUUCAGUGAAUCAUCGAAUCUUUGAACGCACAUUGCGCCCGCCAGUAUUCUGGCGGGCAUGCCUGUUCGAGCGUCAUUACAACCCUCAGGCCCCCGGGCCUGGCGUUGGGGAUCGGCGGAAGCCCCCUGCGGGCACAACGCCGUCCCCCAAAUACAGUGGCGGUCCCGCCGCAGCUUCCAUUGCGUAGUAGCUAACACCUCGCAACUGGAGAGCGGCGCGGCCACGCCGUAAAACACCCAACUUCUGAAUGUUGACCUCGAAUCAGGUAGGAAUACCCGCUGAACUUAAGCAUAUCAUAAGCGGUGGA